GGCUAGAGUCUUGUAGAGGGGGGUAGAAUUCCAGGUGUAGCGGUGAAAUGCGUAGAGAUCUGGAGGAAUACCGGUGGCGAAGGCGGCCCCCUGGACUAAGACUGACGCUCAGGUGCGAAAGCGUGGGGAGCAAACAGGAUUAGAUACCCUGGUAGUCCACGCCGUAAACGAUGUCGAUUUGGAGGUUGUGCCCUUGAGGCGGGGCUUCCGGAGCUAACGCGUUAAAUCGACCGCCUGGGGAGUACGGCCGCAAGGUUAAAACUCAAAUGAAUUGACGGGGGCCCGCACAAGCGGUGGAGCAUGUGGUUUAAUUC
rnacentral:rRNA from 1 species